AUCUGAAGUGUGAAUAGGAUUGGUGAAAGAGUGAAAGAGUGUUGUGUGCUUUUGCUGAGUUUAGGAUGGUGUCAAUUGUGCCUCAGGAGAAGAGUUUAGACAUUCUGUCCUGAUGAAUGUAAUCAAGUCUUUAUUUCAUGGUUUCUCUUAACGCAAAUACGUACAGGUUCAUAUUCGUCGAUGAGGGUGAGAGGAAAACUAUCGCCAACAGAAAGAAUCCAGAUAGGAAGAGAGAAAAAGAAAGACCAGAGAUGGUAUACUGUGGUGGUUAAAGGCCAGAGACUGGGGAAAAAGUGGUUAUGGGUUUAAAGUCUGCCUCCAGCAUUUUCUUGCUCUAUAAUUUUGGAGAAGUUACCAAAAAUCUCAAAACCCAAGUUUUUUUGUAAGAUAUCUACAUUUCAGACUUCUUGUGAAGACUAAAAAAGAUAAUGAUUUUGUGUCCUUUUUAAAACAGCCUCAAUCACCUGAUUCCUCCCUGCCACUUCUCUGCAAAUGAUAGAGUUCACACAUCUAUAAUUCUCUCAUAGGUUCAUGUGGGCUGCUCCUCAUAACCCUGCUCAAACACUACUGAGGCAUCAGGAUCUUCAAGAUUCAUUUUCUCUUGCCACCACCAUAUAAGAAGUGCCUUUCACCUCCUGCCAUGAUUCUGAGGCUUCCCCAGCCAUGUAAAACUCUCUCUUUGGUGACUUCCUGAAGCUUGAAGUAUCUUCCUUGGGAGACGUAUUAUAGAAUUUGAAAUCCCACUGGCCAGAUCUCAGCAUGUAGUUUCAUCCCAACUCUACAGAAGUCUGGAAAAUACAGAGAGAACAUGCUCUUUCCCUAGGAAGAAGAGAUGAGAGCUCCAUCUCUCUGCUGGUGGAAGGAGAGGUUGUCUUUCCCUUCCCAUAGGGCAAGAAGAGCUGCCUCCACAUCCUCCUUCUGCUGUAGCUGAAGAGCCUGUUUAAAGGAACAUCCUGAUGGGGCUCAGCCUUUUGACCCCCAGAAAACAUGGCUUUGUCUGCCAUCCUGCAGCUCAUCAUGGGAGCCUGCAAAGUGGUUGGGGGCAGCACACACCAGCAUGCUGUGAAGAGAGGAAAGAGCUGCCGGGAUAACAACCCCGCAGCCACCAUAAUGACUCAGAUUAGAACACAAGGGAACACCAGCCAUUUUUUAGUCUGUCAGUUUUUCUAUUAUCCUCAAGACUGAGCAUGAAACAUUCAUUAUAACACGUCCUUAUUGAUUCAACUGAUGGAAAUAUAUUGGUAUUAAUAACACGAAACUCUAAGGCACUGAGGAUAAUAAAAUGAUUGCGAACAUAA
rnacentral:lncRNA from 1 species